rnacentral:sRNA from 2 species
GGACCACCUCUGUCGUCCGGGUCCCAGGGUGCUGGUGGAGGACCCACUCGUGACUCGCGUCUCGCGAGUCUUGGGGUGAAGCCGCGUCAGCGGCCGGACACCUGACCGUCCGAACCCGACAGCUCACUUCACAGGCGUCGUCAGGAAAGGAACC